rnacentral:rRNA from 1 species
GAUGAACGCUGGCGGCGUGCCUAAUACAUGCAAGUAGAACGCUGAAGGAGGAGCUUGCUCUUCUGGAUGAGUUGCGAACGGGUGAGUAACGCGUAGGUAACCUGCCUGGUAGCGGGGGAUAACUAUUGGAAACGAUAGCUAAUACCGCAUGACAACAGUUAUUGCAUGAUAACUGUUUAAAAGGGGCAACUGCUCCACUACCAGAUGGACCUGCGUUGUAUUAGCUAGUUGGUGAGGUAACGGCUCACCAAGGCGACGAUACAUAGCCGACCUGAGAGGGUGAUCGGCCACACUGGGACUGAGACACGGCCCAGACUCCUACGGGAGGCAGCAGUAGGGAAUCUUCGGCAAUGGACGGAAGUCUGACCGAGCAACGCCGCGUGAGUGAAGAAGGUUUUCGGAUCGUAAAGCUCUGUUGUAAGAGAAGAACGAGUGUGAGAGUAGAAAGUUCACACUGUGACGGUAUCUUACCAGAAAGGGACGGCUAACUACGUG